GCACCGGUGGUGUAUGGUACACACAGUCAUCUCAUAAAACUGCCAGAUGGUACUGGGUAGUGACUGAGUCUGGGGUUCGAUUCCCCGCUGGUGCA